rnacentral:tRNA from 1 species
GGAGUGUACAGCUCAGUGGUGGAGCACAUGCUUAAUGUGCACAAGGUCCUAGGUUCAAUCCCCAGUACCUCCA